rnacentral:rRNA from 1 species
GACGAACGCUGGCGGCGUGCUUAACACAUGCAAGUCGUACGGUAAGGCCCUUUCGGGGGUACACGAGUGGCGAACGGGUGAGUAACACGUGAGUAACCUGCCCACAACUUUGGGAUAACGCUAGGAAACUGGUGCUAAUACUGGAUAUGUGCUCCUGCUGCAUGGUGGGGGUUGGAAAGCUCCGGCGGUUGUGGAUGGACUCGCGGCCUAUCAGCUUGUUGGUGGGGUAGUGGCCUACCAAGGCGGCGACGGGUAGCCGGCCUGAGAGGGUGACCGGCCACAUUGAGACUGAGAUACGGCCGAGACUCCUACGGGAGGCAGCAGUGGGGAAUAUUGCACAAUGGGCGCAAGCCUGAUGCAGCAACGCCGCGUGCGGGAUGACGGCCUUCGGGUUGUAAACCGCUUUCAGCAGGGACGAAGCUUUUUGUGACGGUACCUGCAGAAGAAGCACCGGCUAACUACGUG